UCCCUGGAGGUCUAGUGGUUAGGCCUUAGUGCUUUCGCCAUCAUGGCCUGAGUUCAAUUCCUGGCCCUGGAA